AGAAUCAACGCUGGCGGCGUGCCUAACACAUGCAAGUCGCACGAGAAAGGGGAGCAAUCCCUGAGUACAGUGGCGCACGGGUGAGUAACACGUGAAUAAUCUACCUCCGAGUGGGGAAUAACUGAGAGAAAUCUUAGCUAAUACCGCAUAACACUUACGAGUCAAAGCAGCAAUGCGCUUGGAGAGGAGUUCGCGGCAGAUUAGUUAGUUGGCGGGGUAAUGGCCCACCAAGACGAUGAUCUGUAUCCGGCCUGAGAGGGCGCACGGACACACUGGAACUGAAACACGGUCCAGACUCCUACGGGAGGCAGCAGUGGGGAAUUUUGCGCAAUGGGGGAAACCCUGACGCAGCAACGCCGCGUGGAGGAUGAAGCCCCUUGGGGUGUAAACUCCUUUCGAUCGGGAAGAUAAUGACGGUACCGAUAUAAGAAGCCCGGCUAACUUCGUGCCAGCAGCCGC
rnacentral:rRNA from 1 species